rnacentral:ncRNA from 1 species
AGAAACGCGUUGAGAAAGUUAAGUAGUUAUUUCCAAUUCCAGAAAGCGAGCUUCGUUUGGUGAGAGGAAGCAGGUAAUGAUUUAACGAAAAUCCCUUUUGAGCGAUGUACCGAAAUUAAGUAACGUACAUUGGGCACACCCAUUACAGUGUUAGCGUAUCGCUUUUUAGCCGUACGUGAAAAGGUUUAUUUAGUGAUAAAUUAACAACAUUAAGGUGGUACCGUGCAAAGCACCCUUAAA